UACGUAGGGUCCGAGCGUUGUCCGGAAUUAUUGGGCGUAAAGGGCUCGUAGGCGGUCCGUCACGUCGGGCGUGAAAACUCAGGGCUCAACCCUGAGCGUGCUUCCGAUACGGGCGGACUAGAGGUAUGCAGGGGAGAACGGAAUUCCUGGUGUAGCGGUGGAAUGCGCAGAUAUCAGGAGGAACACCGGUGGCGAAGGCGGUUCUCUGGGCAUUACCUGACGCUGAGGAGCGAAAGCAUGGGGAGCGAACAGG
rnacentral:rRNA from 1 species